GUCAAGGGGGAGCGCACUUUUUAACUUAGGACUUUCGAAGUCAGUUGCCCUGUAUUCUGGCAUACUGGUGCGCUCCUCAUUGAAGCCGCCCACGGCCGGCCGUGCUCCGCGCCUGCAUCACGAGCCAGUGGCAAAAGGAUACAACAGCAUUCCAGGAGAUACACACGGAAAUGUUAGGUGCAUUGAGGACUACACCAAAUACACCAGGGGCUGUGAAUGAUGCAAAC